rfam:Heterocephalus glaber contig176471, whole genome shotgun sequence.
GUCUACAGGCAUACCACCCUGAAUGCUCCCAAUCUUGUCUGAUUUCAGAAGCUAAGCAGGGUUGGGCUUGGUUAGUACUUGGAAGGAAAAAAACAACAAGAAAAGAAUUGGCCAUUGAGCUU